rnacentral:lncRNA from 1 species
ACGUUACGCCUCACCUGGCACAGCCUGGUACCGUUUCCCUGCAUCCUCUCAUUUGUUGCCUGGGAGAAGAGCCAGCUCCUUGCCACCUCCUCUGAGGGAGACGUACAGCAUCCUGUGCAAUUCUCAGUGAGCUCUGCUGUGGAUUCGCCUUGCUGCCUGAAUGCCCUCAUGAGGAAUGGGCUUGGAAGUUCUUUUUCUGUGAUACCGGAUCUCACAGCCAAAUCAUGCCAAGUCUGAC